rnacentral:rRNA from 1 species
AGAGUUUGAUCCUGGCUCAGGAUGAACGCUAGCGACAGGCUUAACACAUGCAAGUCGAGGGGCAGCACAGGUAGCAAUACCGGGUGGCGACCGGCGCACGGGUGAGUAACGCGUAUGCAACUUACCUAUCAGAGGGGGAUAACCCGGCGAAAGUCGGACUAAUACCGCAUGAAGCAGGGGCCCCGCAUGGGGAUAUUUGCUAAAGAUUCAUCGCUGAUAGAUAGGCAUGCGUUCCAUUAGGCAGUUGGCGGGGUAACGGCCCACCAAACCGACGAUGGAUAGGGGUUCUGAGAGGAAGGUCCCCCACAUUGGUACUGAGACACGGACCAAACUCCUACGGGAGGCAGCAGUGAGGAAUAUUGGUCAAUGGCCGAGAGGCUGAACCAGCCAAGUCGCGUGAGGGAUGAAGGUUCUAUGGAUCGUAAACCUCUUUUAUAAGGGAAUAAAGUGCGGGACGUGUCCCGUUUUGUAUGUACCUUAUGAAUAAGGAUCGGCUAACUCCGUGCCAGCAGCCGCGGUAAUACGGAGGAUCCGAGCGUUAUCCGGAUUUAUUGGGUUUAAAGGGUGCGUAGGCGGCCUUUUAAGUCAGCGGUGAAAGUCUGUGGCUCAACCAUAGAAUUGCCGUUGAAACUGGGAGGCUUGAGUAUGUUUGAGGCAGGCGGAAUGCGUGGUGUAGCGGUGAAAUGCAUAGAUAUCACGCAGAACCCCGAUUGCGAAGGCAGCCUGCCAAGCCAUUACUGACGCUGAUGCACGAAAGCGUGGGGAUCAAACAGGAUUAGAUACCCUGGUAGUCCACGCAGUAAACGAUGAUCACUAGCUGUUUGCGAUACACUGUAAGCGGCACAGCGAAAGCGUUAAGUGAUCCACCUGGGGAGUACGCCGGCAACGGUGAAACUCAAAGGAAUUGACGGGGGCCCGCACAAGCGGAGGAACAUGUGGUUUAAUUCGAUGAUACGCGAGGAACCUUACCCGGGCUUAAAUUGCAGAUGAAUUACGGUGAAAGCCGUAAGCCGCAAGGCAUCUGUGAAGGUGCUGCAUGGUUGUCGUCAGCUCGUGCCGUGAGGUGUCGGCUUAAGUGCCAUAACGAGCGCAACCCUUGCCACUAGUUACUAACAGGUGAUGCUGAGGACUCUGGUGGGACUGCCAGCGUAAGCUGCGAGGAAGGCGGGGAUGACGUCAAAUCAGCACGGCCCUUACAUCCGGGGCGACACACGUGUUACAAUGGCGUGGACAAAGGGAAGCCACCUGGCGACAGGGAGCGAAUCCCCAAACCACGUCUCAGUUCGGAUCGGAGUCUGCAACCCGACUCCGUGAAGCUGGAUUCGCUAGUAAUCGCGCAUCAGCCAUGGCGCGGUGAAUACGUUCCCGGGCCUUGUACACACCGCCCGUCAAGCCAUGGGAGCCGGGGGUACCUGAAGUGCGUAACCGCGAGGAGCGCCCUAGGGUAAAACUGGUGACUGGGGCUAAGUCGUAACAAGGUAGCCGUACCGGAAGGUGCGGCUG